GUCGGCCGGUCGGCUGUGUGUCGACGGGUCACAGCUACAGUCCAUGGAAAAUGAAAUGGUAAAAGCCAUCCAGGGCGCACUUUUUAAAGCACAGAGGAGAAGAGUGGAGGAAACGUGCAAAGGCGAUAGGACCACCUGCAGCUGAAUCAUCAGACCAGGAACAGCCAUACACCUCAGCUGCUCCGGUUUCCUCAGAGCCACCAGAGGAGACACUACAAGAGCAUGCUGCUCUUCCUGCCAACCUCACCCUGCCUCAAACCUGAGCAUGGAUGUUCAGAUGCAGCAAACACUGGCAAUUCCCCCUCAGCUGAUCCUGCUGACUGGCCUCUUCAUGUAACAGACCUAAUGAGAACAGAGUUGGUUCGGAGAGGGCCGUAUCAUGUACUAGCUGAUUUCAUUUUUCCUUUUUGUGUAUUUAUUAUUGAACGGGUUUAUUCAU